rnacentral:tRNA from 1 species
GUGGAUAAAGCUCAGUGGUAGAGCGCUUGCUUAGCACCCAUGAGGUCCUGUGUUCAAUCCUCAGUACCUCCA